UUGCCUUUGGAAGUAGGGUUAGCUGCUAGCAGCUCUCUCUCCCAACUUGCAUCUUACCCUGAUUACCAUCUCAUUCGUCCCUCCUACUUCACCGAGACUCUGCUGUACCUAUUGCUCUAGCUCACUCUACACUGAUGUAGGAGGUUUGACGUCCCACCGGCCAGCUGUUGCCGUGUUGUUGCAUCGAAGGCCGAUCCCUAAGGAGGUGAUCUACCGUCUAUCCUCCUGCAGUUGUUCCUAUAAUCAAUGGUACUUUCCACCUUCAACCAGCUUGCGUGUGUAGCAAUCCGUAGGUACCUUCAAGCCACCAAAACCAGCUGGAAAUUCUUCUUUACAGGUUCGAACUUUCAGAUCCCUCUACCCAGAGUCCGUUUGUUUGGGGUCGGUAAGAGAGAAACAUUGGUGUCAAGUUCCGGUGGAGAUGCGGUUCAAGGUUUCUGCGAGGGCUUCGGCUGGCGUUGAUUUUGAGUUUGUUGGUAUCCCUUAUCUAUUACGGCUUACAACACUAUCUAUCAUUGGCUGGCUCACUUGUAUUGAUCUCAUUAGUCAUGGUACCGGUCAUGGGUGGAACUGAUUUUUUGUUGCUAGAGGGGGAAUGGAGACCCUCAGACCUGCUUGGCAGCGUGUGUAUAUGACCAGAGCUUCUACAUAAAGAGAUGCUCUUAAAAGUUUUAUAGAAGGGUACCAAGAGGGUGUUCAGCAAGUAAUGAAGAAAGAAGAUUCCAAAACUCAAGGACAUGUCAGUAUACCGAAAAGAGUCAACUUGAACUUGCUUGUAGGAGGCAGUGUCAUACCUUCCAUUUAGACUCAAGCAUGCAACUUCGCAAAAAUUAUUGUCAAUCCCCUCGAAUUAAAGGGUGUUAAUGUACAUUUCACUGAACAGAUAUAGUCGAAUAUUCCAAAAUGGUGUACUUGGGCUACUAAGCAUCUAAUGGUAGUACUGAAUUUUGUUUGUGCAA